UUAAUUUUAAAUAUAUAUUAGAACAGAGCAGACAAAAUAAUUUCUUGAAUACAAUAGGUUCCAUUCUCCAAUGCUAAGAAAUUAAAACUAUAGACAGCAGAAACAGCUUAAUCAUUCUAAUUUUAUAGCUUCCUCGAUGACUUGUCUAGUCACGGAGCAAAUCUCCAUUUUCCAAACUUAUUGGCUUCCAAUCCAAAGUGUCUAGUUGUAAUUUCAAAUCUUCACUUCCCGAACUUAAGAAAACUGUUCAGAGAAUAUUAAAAUAUGUUGUAAAAAAAUAAAAAUUGUCCCUUGAACACCUGUAUUUAAUUGUCAAUUUGACACUUAGAGUGAGAGAACAAGAGAGAAAACCUCCAAAGACAGAUUAAUAUGUCUUAUUCUGUAAAACACGUUACAUAUGAAAUUGUCCAGGGAACUGCUACCUUAGCCAGAACCCCAAAGGCUACAAAAACUUCAUUUCCCUUUUCAUGCUGCCCCAGAUUUAGGAUUUUCUACAGCAGUUUAGAAAACCUGUCUAUUUCCUUCCCCAUACCACAUAUUUAAGCCCACUUUCUCACUAACCAAAUCUCAUACAUGACAUCACCUGUUGUGACAGGCCAGGCAGUGGUUAAGAGAGAAGAUUCCUACUAUUCUCAUUACUUUUGGAUCAGAGUUUAUUAUGACUGUGGAAAUGUUCUCUAUCAACCAUGACCCCUUCCUUGAUCCAACAGUCACUGUAGAAUACAGUGCCCCUGCUCGGGGCACCUGUGAGGACACAUUAAGGGCAGACUGAGUAUUUCAAGAAAUAUAGAUGAUGUCUGACAAGCGAUUAAAGCAAAAUAAGACCUAUCAUUAGCAACCAUGAAUAGAUUUUGACUCUUCUUCCACUUGAAGUAAAAAGAAAGAUGGGAUUCAACAUGGAAAACCCUCGUCAUUUAUAUUUUAGUUACUCAAAGGGCUGUGUAACUCUUUCAGACUUUAGGGUACAUUUUAGUAUGCAUUCUUUUCUAAGGAGACACUUAUAGAAGUGCUAAAGAGAUAAAAAAAAAAAAGGUAAUACUAAAAAUCAGUGACAAUAGCAGAUCAUUUGGCUAUUAGCCUUUAGAUAGCCUAUGAUCAAAGGCAAUAAUCAUGGCCUUUAAUGAAUGUAAUAUUUUCUUAAAAAUCAGUAGAGCAUAAUUAAAAAAUGAAAUAAUACUUCAAUAGAAUUUAACUUUGACUAGACUGUUAUCAAACUCUGGAUAUAAUAUUGGGCAAUUUUAUUUGCGUUAAAAUCCAUGUAAACUGUAUGUAUAAUAGCAUUUCUCAAAUGGUAUUAAGAGACACUGGGAAUAUUAACAGAUGUGUUGAGAAACAAAUCAAAUUCAUCCCAUGUGCACCUAAGUUUAACUAUCAUAAAAGUUGCAAUAGAAUAUUUCAUCCUACUGAAUGUAUCAUUCUUGACUGUCCUUACGUCCAAUGCUACUUAUCUGUUACAGUCUUGAGAAUUGCUGCUCUAUUUCAAAGACCCUGAGAGGAAAUGAAAAGGGCAGAAAUCAAAAUCAUUUGAGGAGUUUUGUCCCUAAGAUUCUUUUUUUAUCAGUGUGUAACAGAACGCACUUCAAAAAAGUCAGGAAAAAGGCUUCUAUUUAAUUAUGCUUGAGUGGACUGGUGGAUGGUAGUGGGAUAAUCCUCCUGGAAUUUCAAAUUGAAAAAUAUUACUGAGCAAAAUAUAUGCCAGGCAUCAUUGUAAACAUUUUACAUGCAUUGCUUUAUUUUUCACAACAAGCCUGUGGGAUACUACCAUUACCCUAGAUUCAUUUCUGGUUGAGAAAAGUGAAAUAUAGAGAAGAUGAAAAACUUUCCUAAGACCAAACAGUAAGUUUCGGAACUAGGGCUGGAACCCAGUCUAACUCCAGAUUUCAUGUUCCUAUCCCCUAGUUAAAUAUUACUAUACAUGGUAGAUUUGAUAUAUGUCACAACACAAAAUUUAGACUUGGAUGGAAAACUGGAGAAAAUAAAAUUCAAAUCUCCCAUUUCAAGAAAAAUGGCAUUCUCAGUGACAAAAUAACUUAUCCAAGGUGAUACAAUUAGACGGAGGCAAAAUGAGGCUUAGAGCUCAGCUCUCCUCCAGAGCUUUUCUCAUAGUGCUUUAAUCCCUAUAUUGAAUGAGCUUCUAUGGAAUGUCCCAGGAAUAUUGUUUUAAACAACAUUUUAAAUAUUUUAAAUAAGCUUUCCCAUGACUAUUUUAAAAAACUGGAAAAAGCAUAAAAAAGGAAACUAUAUUUGUGUUUAUGCAUAACUUAUUUUUUUCUAAAGUAGUUAAUCAAUUUCCUUAUAGCCAAUCAUUUGGUAGUCUCAUCAUUCUUCGUUGAUUUCCUUGUAUCCUAUACCACAUACUAAUUUCAUAUAUAUGCCAAGAUUUUUUUUUUUUAAUACCAUCUGCCUUUCCUACUGGUCUGGCUGUCAUUCUUCAGAAUUGUUUUGCAAAGUUUAACCAAAAAAAUUAGUUUCAGAAGACAUAACUUCUUGUUCUACGCAUAUUACCUUUCAGAAACAUGCUUGUCUCUCUGCUUAUCCAUGUUUUCUGUUCUGUUUCACAGUGAAGUGUAUUUUUUUUUAUCUACAAAGCUGAGCUUUUCUUCUAAAUAGUAGGCUUAGGAAGCUUAUUUUGGUUGCCAUUGUAGAUGGAAUUUUUCCUGAUUAUAUCACUUAAUUAUUGUUAGUAUGCAAGAGAACCACUGAGAUUUACAUACUGUGAAUCUGGUGAUUUUUCUGAGAUCUUUUACCAAUUUAAAAAUAGUCAGAUUAUCUUGGAUAUUUCUGGGAGAUAAGUUUCCUGGGACACUACAGAGCUGGAGAUGGACACUGUUAAAGGAUUCCUGGACACUAUCUCUGCUUUCUCCCACAACCCCAAGGAAGAUGUGGUCUUGUUAGUGCUAAAUUUAUUUCAAGAACCAAGAGAAUGUUUACAAAUAUUCACUUAGGUAAAAGCAUGUAGAUUCUUGACGCACUUUCUUCUGGAAUGGAGGUAUCAGCCUAGUAUAUGAGGCAAAGGCAUAGCAAGAAACUGAUUUCUUUUUCUACUUUAACAUUAUCUCCCCUAUCUUCAUCCCUGUAGGGCAAAAAGAAUGUGAUGCAAGCCAUGAAAAGAUAUGCUAUAUCUACUCCUGCUUUCAAAGUAUUUAUAUCCCUUCUCUUAACUUCUGUAUCCUUGGUUAAGUCAGAAACUUUUAGUUUAUAUGUGUGUACAUAAUACACACACACCCACACACACACAUACAUAAUGUUCAAAUGUCUUUUCUUUUUCAAUAGUUAUAUUUCGUUUUCAUGUCUUGUUGCAUUUUCCAAAACAUCUAGAACAAAGUUAGUAGAAAAUAUUUUUGUCAUGUUCCUCAUUUUAAGUAUGCUGUUGUCUCUUGGUUUAAAAUACAGUCAUGUAAAGGACGUAUGUUCCUAUUACUAAUUUUUUAACAACUGCUUUUCUUAAAAGCCAGGUAUGGACAUUGAAUGUUACUGAUGUUUCUCCUAGAAUCUCAAUAAAUUACAUGAUUUUUUCUCUACUGAUAUAUUAAUGUAAUAUAUUAAUGACUUCUAAUAUUAAGCCAUUUUUAUAGUUCUAAAAAGAAUGAUUAGAGAUCUUUUUCUUUAUUCUUGUAAUUACAGAAACAGUUCAUACAUCUGUUUGCAAACUAUUUUCAUCAAUUUAUUAGGAACGUGGGCCUCUUUAAUCUACAUAAAUGUGUUAUGUGUUAUGAAAAUACCUCAAGAAUACUUUCUUCUAUAAUAACUUUGAAUUCAUAUCUUAUGUUUUCCCAUCCAAAAAUAUGGUGAUUUUUAGUAUUCAAAUUUUCUUUUACAUAUCUAACUAAAGUUAUACAAUUUUCUUCCUUUACAUUUUCAUUUGUUCUGUAUUUCUGCCACCCCCUCCCCCAAAUUUGUGAAAUAGGGUAUUCGUUUCUAGUCCUUUAUUAUCUUCUCCUUUACAACUAUUAUUUUUUUCUUCUCUACCCUAGAACUUCUUAACUAUCUCCUGUCACUCAUGAGAGUUUCUGUACUGUUAAUUCUGCUAUCAACUGCUUUCAAUAGACUUUAUUUCUGACUUCAUAUUUUAAAAUUUUUGGCAAUUCUUAUUUUAGCUAGCUCCCUUUCACCUCAAAUUGUUCUCUCCUUAUAACUUCUUUUUCAUAGACUGUAUAGCAAAUGUUUUAUAGCAUUUUCUUGUUUCCUUUAAUGAAACACUUUUCACAGUUAUUUUCUUCCUCUGAGUCUACCUUUACCUUAUACUGCAAUAAAUUUCACAGGUACUUUUUACUUAUCCUAGAACAAGGGAAAGUUCUAAAAUUUAGUAUUUAAUAUAAAUGGUUCUGAGUCUGUUCUUAGGCCCAUUCUUUAUCGUGUUAAUAGAAUGAUUUUCUUUAAUUAGUAGAUGGAGACUAAGUGGAUGUUCACUUAGUCUAGUUUCCAGUGUUCUAGCAAGGCAUAGUAGACUUAAACGUAUUCUACUCUUAUUUCUACUACUUGAUUCUGUCACUCUGAAUAUAUGAUAGAGUACUAGGUAAAUAAGGUAUCCACAAAUCUGAAGAUUUUUCCUCUUUACCUGCAUACAAUAUUUUUAGCGUGUGAACUAUGUAAGCGUGAUAUGCAAUGGACCACUGCUAUUUUGUCCUCUUACUCCCUACUGUAUCUUUUCCAAGAAUUGUAGUUUCAGAAUAAAUAUAAAGAGACACUAACAGGGAUUGAUAAUAAAAGAAAAAGACUAUGACUGUCUUCAACUAUGUAGCAAGAGGGAAACUAGUCUGUGGUGCAUCUCUCAGA